rnacentral:rRNA from 1 species
AGCGGGAGGAAAAGGAAAAUUAACCAAGGGAUUUCCCUUUAGUAAACUUGCGGAGUGAAAGUGGGGAAAAAGCUUCAAAAUUUUAAAAUCUGGCCAGUUCAUUUGGGCUUGUCCGGAGUUGUUAUUCUAGAGAAAGUGUUGCCCCGUGCUGGGACCCAUGUACCAAGUUCUUCCUGGAAAUGGGAGCAUCCACAGAGGGGUGAGAAUUCCCUGUCUUUUGAACAUGGACUACCCAGUGCUUUUUGUGGGUAUGCUUCUCAAAGGAGUCGGAGUUGUUUGGGGAAUGCAGCUCAAAAAUGGGUGGUAAAUGCCAUCUAAAGCUAAAUAUUGGCGAGAGACCGAUAGUGAACAAGUACCGUGAGGGAAGGAUGAAAAGAACUUUGGAAAGAGAGUUAACCAGUACGUGAAAUUGCUGAAAGGGAAACGCUUGAAGUCAGUCACAUUGACUUGAAUUCAGUUCUGCUUUUGCUGGGUGUACUUUCUUGUCAAUGGGUCAGCAUCAAUUUUGAUCAUUGGAUAAAGUCAUUGGGAAUGUAGCAUCUUUAGAUGUGUUAUAGCCUGGUGAUGCAUACAGUGGUUGGGAUUGAGGAACUCAGCACGCCACCAGGCCGGGUUUCGACCACGUUCGUGCUUAGGAUGCUGGCAUAAUGGCUUUAAUUGACCCGUCUUGAAACACGGACCAAGGAGUUUAACAUUUCUGCAAGUGUUUGGGUGGAAAACCCAUGUGCAUAAUGAAAGUGAAAGUUGAGAUCCCUUCUCAAGGGGGGGGAGCAUCGACGGCCCGGACCAGACCUUUUGUGACGGAUCCGCGGUAGAGCAUGUAUGUUGGGACCCGAAAGAUGGUGAACUAUGCCUGAAUAGGGUGAAGCCAGAGGAAACUCUGGUGGAGGCUCGUAGCGAUUCUUACGUGCAAAUCGAUCGUCAAAUUUGGGUAUAGGGGCGAAAGACUAAUCGAACCAU